GUGAGGAAUAUUGGACAAUGGGCGCAAGCCUGAUCCAGCCAUGCCGCGUGCAGGAAGACGCAUCUAUGGUGUGUAAACUGCUUUUGUACGGGAAGAAACACUCCCUCGUGAGGGAGCUUGACGGUACCGUAAGAAUAAGGAUCGGCUAACUCCGUGCCAGCAGCCGCGGUAAUACGGAGGAUCCAAGCGUUAUCCGGAAUCAUUGGGUUUAAAGGGUCCGUAGGCGGUUUAAUAAGUCAGUGGUGAAAGCCCAUCGCUCAACGAUGGAACGGCCAUUGAUACUGUGAGACUUGAAUUACAAGGAAGUAACUAGAAUAUGUAGUGUAGCGGUGAAAUGCUUAGAUAUUACAUGGAAUACCAAUUGCGAAGGCAGGUUACUACUUGUGGAUUGACGCUGAUGGACGAAAGCGUGGGGAGCGAACAGGAUUAGAAACCCGUGUAGUCC
rnacentral:rRNA from 1 species